AUUAUACCGCGAAACUGCGAAUGGCUCAUUAAAUCAGUUAUCGUUUAUUUGAUAGUGCCUUUCCUACUUGGAUAACCGUGGUAAUUCUAGAGCUAAUACAUGCUAAAAAUCCCGACUUCGGAAGGGAUGCAUUUAUUGGAUACAGAACCAAUGCCCUCCGGGGCUCUCUGGUGAAUCACAAUAACUCCGCGGAUCGCACGGCCUUGCGCCGGCGAUGGUUCAUUCAAAUUUCUGCCCUAUCAACUUUCGACGGCUGGGUAUUGGCCAGCCGUGGUGACAACGGGUAACGGAGGGUUAGGGCUUGACCCCGGAGAAGGAGCCUGAGAAACGGCUACUACAUCCAAGGAAGGCAGCAGGCGCGCAAAUUACCCAAUCCCGACUCGGGGAGGUAGUGACAAUAAAUACUGAUCCAGGGCUCUUUUGGGUCUUGGAAUUGGAAUGAGUACAAUUUAAAUCCCUUAACGAGGAACAAUUGGAGGGCAAGUCUGGUGCCAGCAGCCGCGGUAAUUCCAGCUCCAAUAGCGUAUAUUAAAGUUGUUGAGGUUAAAAAGCUCGUAGUUGAACCUUGGCCCUGGCUGGCCGGUCCGCCUCACCGCGAGCACUGGUCCGGCCGGGGCUUUCCCUCUGGGGACCCUCAUGCCCUUCACUGGGUGUGCUGGAGAACCAGGACUUUUACUGUGAACAAAUCAGAUCGCUCAAAGAAGGCUCUCGCUCGAAUGCUUCAGCAUGGAAUAAUGAAAUAGGACGUGCGGUUCUAUUUUGUUGGUUUCUAGGACCGCCGUAAUGAUUAAUAGGGACAGUCGGGGGUGUCAGUAUUCAAUUGUCAGAGGUGAAAUUCUUGGAUCAAUUGAAGACUAACUACUGCGAAAGCAUUCACCAAGGAUGUUUUCAUUAAUCAGGAACGAAAGUUAGGGGAUCGAAGACGAUCAGAUACCGUCGUAGUCUUAACCAUAAACUAUGCCGAUUAGGGAUCGGACGAUGUUAUUUUUUGACUCGUUCGGCACCUUACGAUAAAUCAAA
rnacentral:rRNA from 2 species